CUACAGAACUUAAAGGACGUUGACGGGGCCCGCACAAGCGGUGGAGCAUGUGGUUAAUUCGAUGCAACGCGAAGAACCUUACCUGGUCUUGACAUCCCGGAGACCCUUAGGAAACUAGGGGGUGCUUCCAUCUGGAAGAAUCUGGAGACAGGUGCUGCAUGGCUGUCGUCAGCUCGUGUCGUGAGAUGUUGGGUUAAGUCCCGCAACGAGCGCAACCCUUGCCUUUAGUUGCCAGCAGUUCGGCUGGGCACUCUAAAGGGACUGCCGGUGUUAAACCGGAGGAAGGUGGGGAUGACGUCAAGUCCUCAUGGCCUUUAUGACCAGGGCUACACACGUACUACAAUGGCCGAUACAAAGGGCAGCGACACUGCGAGGUGAAGCCAAUCCCGUAAAAUCGGUCUCAGUCCGGAUUGGAGUCUGCAACUCGACUCCAUGAAGUUGGAAUCGCUAGUAAUCGUGGAUCAGCAUGCCACGGUGAAUACGUUCCCGGGCCUU
rnacentral:rRNA from 1 species